UGCAACGGCCAUACCACGCUGAUACACCAGAUCCCGUCCGAUCUCUGAAGUUCAGCAGCGUCGGGCGCGGGGUUAGUACUUGGAUGGGUGACCGCUUGGGAACACCGCGUGCCGUUGUAU